rnacentral:rRNA from 1 species
GACGAACGCUGGCGGCGUGCUUAACACAUGCAAGUCGAACGGUGACCCAGGGCUUGCCCUGGUGAUCAGUGGCGAACGGUGAGUAACACGUGGGCAACCUGCCCCUGACUUCGGGAUAACUCCUCGAAAGAGGAGCUAAUACCGGAUACGACCACUUCGGACAUCCGAUGGUGGUGGAAAGUUUUUCGGUCAGGGAUGGGCCCGCGGCCUAUCAGCUAGUUGGUGGGGUAAUGGCCUACCAAGGCGACGACGGGUAGCCGGCCUGAGAGGGCGACCGGCCACACUGGGACUGAGACACGGCCCAGACUCCUACGGGAGGCAGCAGUGGGGAAUAUUGCGCAAUGGGCGAAAGCCUGACGCAGCGACGCCGCGUGAGGGAUGAAGGCCUUCGGGUUGUAACCUCUUUCAGCAGGACGAAGCGAAAGUGACGGUACCUGCAGAAGAAGCACCGGCUAACUACGUGCCAGCAGCCGCG